CGACCGGCGCACGGGUGAGUAACGCGUAUGCAACCUGCCCGGUUUCAGCGGGAUAACCCGGAGAAAUCCGGCCUAAUACCGCAUGUGGCCGAGGGGAGGCAUCUUCUUUCGGCCAAAGGAGGCGACUCCGGAGACGGAUGGGCAUGCGUGACAUUAGCUAGUUGGCGGGGUAACGGCCCACCAAGGCGACGAUGUCUAGGGGUUCUGAGAGGAAGGUCCCCCACACUGGUACUGAGACACGGACCAGACUCCUACGGAAGGCAGCAG
rnacentral:rRNA from 1 species